rnacentral:rRNA from 1 species
UACGGAGGGUGCAAGCGUUAUCCGGAUUCACUGGGUUUAAAGGGUGCGUAGGAGGGUAGGUAAGUCAGUGGUGAAAUCUUCGAGCUUAACUCGGAAACUGCCGUUGAUACUAUCUAUCUUGAAUACCGUGGAGGUGAGCGGAAUAUGUCAUGUAGCGGUGAGAUGCUUAGAUAUGACAUAGAACACCAAUUGCGAAGGCAGCUCGCUACACGAAUAUUGACUCUGAGGCACGAAAGCGUGGGGAUCAAACAGG